rnacentral:tRNA from 1 species
GGAUGGCUCAGUGGUCAAGAGCACUGGCUGCCCUUUUGGAGGACCUGGGUUUGAUUCCCAGCAUCCA